rnacentral:rRNA from 1 species
CAGCAGCCACGGUAAUACAGAGGGUGCGAGCGUUAAUCGGAUUUACUGGGCGUAAAGCGUGCGUAGGCGGCUAAUUGAGUCGGAUGUGAAAUCCCCGAGCUUAACUUAGGAAUUGCAUUCGAUACUGGGAAGCUAGAGUAUGGGAGAGGAUGGUAGAAUUCCAGGUGUAGCGGUGAAAUGCGUAGAGAUCUGGAGGAAUACCGAUGGCGAAGGCAGCCAUCUGGCCUAAUACUGACGCUGAGGUACGAAAGCAUGGGGAGCAAACAGGAUUAGAUACCCGAGUAGUCCCUGUCUCUUAUAC